UUGAACUCGCCGGCGAAGAGAGAGGUGAUCAGAGAGAUAGCAGAAGAGCAUAGGCUAGCCAUCCUCUGCUUGCAAGAAACCAAGUUUGAAGCCCGAACGCCCCAGUUGGCCCGCGAUGUAGGUGGUAGUAGGCUAGAUGGCUGCAUAGUGCUGCCAGCGAAUGGCACCGGAGGGGGCCUCGCCAUUUUUUGGGACAAGGAG
rnacentral:rRNA from 1 species